UUCCAAUGCAAUCAGGGAAGAAAAUGUAGCUGAACUGUUUUCUUUUACAAAGCACUCUUUCUCUCAUGCCUCAUCUCCACACUUGCUUAAUAUACUCCUCCUCCAUCGUUAUGCUGCGUGGCUUUUACUAAUACUGCACGGAUGUUGUUUAAACAGGCUGCUUGACAGUGAUGCAUGAGGAGGCUCCUGUGAGCAAGUGCUGCCCUCCUCUCUCUCCUGACACAGCCAUUGCUUCUAGCUGUGUCACAGCUUACAGAAGAUCACACUGGAGUUGAGGAUUCUGCUCUAAUCACCACAGUUUCUCUCUGACAUUGCUACUCAAGGCAUCUUGACUACCCUUGGACAAGAAAGAAGUUUUCCUGUCUUUCACGUUAGUAAGAAAAAGAAUGGAUCAUAAUUAUGAGGGUGACACUUUUAUAGAGAAAGAGAUGAGAGAGCAGUUACCACCUCCAGCACAAAAAAAGUCAUUCUAUAUUUGAGUAUAUCCAGAAUCAAGAAAAAAAAUAUAUGGCAAAACAUAACAUAGACCAGCCAGUAUUUUCAUUGACAGAGAAAUAGCAUCUUAUUUUUCUCCAACUAUCUGCUGCAUCAAUAAAUAAAACUGUAGUAGUUUUAUGGCUUUGUCUAAGAGUAAAUCCCCCCAAAUUACCUUAUGUUGUAAGGGUUAAUAUUAUUAUUACUUUACAAACCAAAAAUUAGUAAGCAAAAAGCAAAUGUUAGAGUAAAGCCAAAUCUUUGCCAGCUCUUGAGCAGUGAUACUUAGUCUAUUGCACUGAGUAACCUCUCUUAGUUUUAACUCUUCCUCUCUCAAAGUGAGCCACACCUUAGUUUUUACAGAGUGCUGUUUAUUCAUUUAUUUAUGUAUCUAUGUGCCAGAGAGUGUGGACCUGAAGAACACAGUUGUGGACAACACGGAAU